UCGAUGCCUAUUCCCUCUCCUUUGCCUCUAAAUCUCCCGCGGAAUACAUUGAUUCCCGCAAAGGCAAAAUUUGCCUAGGUCUCAUGCCCUAGCCUGUCCUCCGCCACCGUUCACCGCCAGCUACUCACCACAGCCAUCCGUCUUCUCCAUAAAUCCUUCAAUCCGACAACUUCUCCUAGAACGAUUUUGCCAGACCCGAAAUUAAAAUGUUCAUUCCCCCACUCGAGCCCCCUUAUCAGAUGGUUUAAUCGAACCACCUGAGGUUUAAUGCAGUUCCCGGCCACCUAGUUGCUGAGUCUUGCUUGUGAGGCCGGGGUGGAGGGCACUAAGCAGAACCUCUGAAAUUAUCAUUGAAUGGUAUGGCCAUGUCCGACAGUUCUGGGGCAAAUCCAUGUGAAUGGCACAUCCUGUUAUAAGCAGUAUCCCAAUAGUGAGAUAAAGUUGACAAGUGAUUACCUUUCAACGCAUUUGGGCAGAGACUAAGAGUACCUUUCAUAUUUGUUACCUGACGUGCAACUAUUCCUCAUUCCAGCUACAAUGAGAGGAACAAAGAAUACACGUGGUGGACGUGCUGGCAAUCGCGCAUCAGCACGUGGUAGAGGCCAAGAUGCACAGCCUCAAGCACGCAUUCUAAGGGACGAGUCUGUUUCAUUUUCAGAUGCAUCCACUCAAGGACCAAGUGUCGGACCAGAGGACACAAUUCCUAUCAAUGAGGCUGAAAUAUGUAACGCGAAUUUUCAAGGUACGUUAUAAUUUUUCAUACCAUCAAAAUUAUC